CGCGUAGGAAUCUAUCCAGUAGUGGGGGACAACAUGGGGAAACUCAUGCUAAUACCGCAUACGUCCUAAGGGAGAAAGCGGGGGAUCUUCGGACCUCGCGCUAUUGGAGGAGCCUGCGUUGGAUUAGCUAGUUGGUGGGGUAAAGGCCCACCAAGGCGACGAUCCAUAGCUGGUCUGAGAGGAUGAUCAGCCACACCGGGACUGAGACACGGCCCGGACUCCUACGGGAGGCAGCAGUGGGGAAUAUUGCGCAAUGGGCGACAGCCUGACGCAGCCAUGCCGCGUGUGUGAAGAAGGCCU
rnacentral:rRNA from 1 species